ensembl:lncRNA
AGCUGACUUGUUAGGCUCUGGGGGUCUUUUGCGACACGUUGCCUUUCUGGAUCACUUGUGCCAUAUGGAACCUCCCCUCGUGGCACAUAACUCACUUUUAUGAGGGCUUCAUUGGCUAAUGAUGGAACAGUGCACGAGCACUGAGCACGGAGGUGUUGUCCCCACGACUGUCGCUCCCUCCGCCGUCGCUGCCGCUGUCACUCUGAUCCCUGCUGAGAACUCUACCGCUGGCUUCAGAGGCUCCUGAACUCCGUUACCUGAUGUUUGAGUGAUGCCGGUGUCGGCAAUAUUUCUUCGCCUUUUUCCCGACAGACACCUUCAUCAUCGUGAAAACUCCAGUUAACCCACCAGGAGGAGAAAGCAAAGUUUCCUGCCCCUGGUGUCCCCGGGUUAACGUCACUUCCUGCCUUGUCCCUGAUGGUUCCUCCUGUGUCCAAUCACCUGCACCUUCCCCGGGUAUUUAAACCAUGUGUGUCCCUUGUCUCUGGUUGGUGCAUUAUCUUGUCUUAGUCGCUGUGGGCAGUCUUUUGUUUGUAUCCCCCCCCCCCGUUUUCCCCUCGGCGGGUAUUCCAGUUUAAAUAAAGUCUUU